rnacentral:rRNA from 1 species
GGGCCCGCACAAGCAGUGGAGUAUGUGGUUUAAUUCGACGCAACGCGAAAACCUUACCAGGUCUUGACAUCAAGUGUAAGCGCCAGAGAUGGCGCCCUCCCUUCGGGGACACGAAGACAGGUGGUGCAUGGUUGUCGUCAGCUCGUGUCGUGAGAUGUUGGGUUAAGUCCCGCAACGAGCGCAACCCUUAUGGCUAGUUGCUACGCAAGAGCACUCUACCCAGACUGCCGUUGACAAAACGGAGGAAGGUGGGGACGACGUCAAAUCAUCAUGCCCCUUAUGACCUGGGCUACACACGUACUACAAUGGCCGUUAACAAUGGGUCGCAAUGCCGCGAGGUGGAGCCAACCCCAAAACGGCCUCAGUUCAGAUUGCAGGCUGCAACUCGCCUGUAUGAAGACGGAAUUGCUAGUAAUCGCGAAUCAGCAUGUCG